rnacentral:lncRNA from 1 species
GGGGCGCCGAGCGCGGCGCCGCGGGAAACCCAGCCUCCGGCGGCGCCCACGCUGCCCCUCCGCCGGGAACAAACGCCUUCCAAUCGAAAGACCGUCUCCCGGGUACCCCUAAAGGUGAGGCCGGCGGACCCACCUCACUCUCAGGUUUACAACAAACCAGUUUCGCGCAGCGCCUCCGGCGGGAUCUUUGGAGCGCGAGCGGGUGCCCGCGGCCCGGCCUCUGGCCUGCCGCCGGGAACCACCGAGCUGGGCGCCGCGGCCCGGGCCCCUGCAGUGUCACCUUUUAUUUAUUAUUUUUUACACAAUGCUCCAUUUAAAAAAACGAGUGGUUCCAGGGCAGGGACUGCUCCAGGAUUUCCUGACAGCUGAGAGAGGAGGAGGAGGAGUGAAGGGAGGUUGCCCAACGUUAUAGUGAAGAGCCGGAUGGGAGUGAUUGAGAAGCCGUAGGGGAGAGGGAACCCGGUGGGGAUGCGAAUGCACCUGCGGACUAGACCCCCCACAGGCUCCAGGCAGAAAGCUGAAGACUUGUUGCUUUUCCCUCCCUUCCCAUUUGCCUCUUUGGAGGUUUUUUGGCUGUUUUUUGAUUGGGGGGGGGGGGAUGAAGCCAAAAGCAAGAGCAAAGUCAAGAUGAAAUGAAUCCCGAGAGAAAAAGAGGAACCUGAGGAAAAUUAAAAGAGAUACUCGGUUUAAUUACUGUCGCGGUUUAAUCUUCUUCAAACUCCUUCACUGGUUUUUUUUACCCCCGUGAGGUUCCGAUAGGAUCUCGUUUGCUUUCUGUUACACCAAACACACUCUUUUUUUGUGUGAUAGUAUUUGCACCUGUAAAUAAAUAUGUGCGUUCCGAACUCCGAAGUGAGAAAUAAUGAACGAGCAGAUCCUAGGAAGAGUGUAAACCUGAGAAGCUGUAAACAGAUUGUUUUCUGCAGGAAAGAAUAAUGUGGAGAUAAAGGUUAAACAGAACAGAGAUAACUCUAUUGCAAAACAGAGACUAUUUCUUCAAAUAAUCACUCCAACUAAGAAACAAGGCCCUAGAGGCUUCCGUAACACCUGCAGCCUACUCUCUUCCAAAGGCCUCCUGGCAAGUGAUUUUCAUUAGCAAAAGGCCCUUGUCCCUAUUUAAAUGCAGAGAAAAUUACCAAGGGCUGUAAUGGCCUAGCCCGCUCCUUUCCUCUGCCCAGGUGUGUACUGCUACUGCCAGGAGGCCUAGAUCCUUUGACCGCCCAAACCAUCCGCUACUGUGUUACAGUGAAGUCCAUCUACAUCAUCCCGCUUAGCAAAUAGGGUGCUGGCACUUUGAAACACGUUAGGUCCGGUGUUUCGCCAGAGGAGUACUAAGAAGGAGCUGCGAUCCCCUUGUUCUCCACGUUGAGGCAGUGGGAUGGUGUUCCUGGCACACCUGUAAGCCACCGGGCACAGGCUUCUCCCCCUGGAAAGUUCUGCCACUUUGCCAGAGCAGACUGUUGAAGUAUGAUCCUUUUAUCUCUGUGUCCCACAUAAUUGCAAUAAAAGCAUGGAGAAAAAGCCAGAUGGAAGAAUUGUUUUAAAACAAGUAACCCACCAGUGGAUGAGAAGACACUACAACUUCAGUUAAUUCUAGCAACCAAAUAUAAGGUAUGGGAUUCAUCUACCAACGUUAUUUUUAUUUCUUAAAAAAAAAAUCCUAAAAUUUCAGUCAGUAAGAGUUAAUUUAAAAUGUUAUUGCUUUUAUUUGAGAAAAACCUAGGCAAAUAUUUCCAAUGACUUUUUUUUCAAGUUUUGGGUGUUUUGGUUUUGUGGCUCUUGUUCCUUUUCCUCAGUAUAAUAAUAUACAUUUGGGGAGUUCCCUUCGUGGCUCAGCGGUUAAUUAACCUGACUAGGAUCCAUAAGGAUGCGAGUUCUGUCCCUGCCCUUGCUCAGUGGGUUAAGGAUCGGGCGUUGCCCUGAGCUGCAGUUUAGGCUGCCCACUUGGCUUGGAUCCUGCGUCACUGCCAGCACCUGUAGCUCCUAUUUGACCCCUAUCCUGGGAGCUACCAUAUGCCACAGGUGCUGCCCUAAAAUAGCAAAUAUAUAUAAAUAUAUAUAUAUUUGAGGGGGAAAAUCCAAUAAAAAUGGAUAUUUUAAUCAGAUCACCAAAAUCCUUGAGCGAGCAUUUUAAUUCUUCUUCACAGAUAAUUUCUAAGAUAGUACUGUUUCUCUUCUAUAUUCCUAAGCCAAAAGUACUGUUGGUUAUUCAACUUUUUCUAAUAAUAGUUUAAAUAUAUAAGAAAUGAUCCCAUCAGGAAAUGAAUAUGAAAAAGAAAAGAAAUAUCCUUUAUCAUUAAAAUUUUCACAAGUGUAGUUUUUAGAGGUAGAUGGAAAAGCAAUAGUGGAGGACCAAAACGUGGAAUGGAAAAACUCUAGAUUUAAGGCAAGAAUAAUCAUUGUACAAUGCAAAUCAGUUGUACCACUCUCUUGCCUAAAUUCUGUCAAUGGCUUCCCACAAGCUACAGUGAAAAGGCCAAAGCUCUUAGCAUAGUCCUGUCAUUUUCACUGGGGAGCUAUUCUGCUGCCCUAGAAGGCAUUCGGGAAUUAGUAAUGUAUCAGCGUUUACUGCUAUCUAAUACAUUAUUUAUUCCCUAACUCAGCAGCUUAAAACAACAGAUGUUUUUUACCUCCCAUGAGCCUUUGUGGAUCAGGAAUCAGGAUGUUCUGGGUAGUUCUGGCUCUGAGGAAGUGGUCGCCAGUUGGACUCUUGGUCAGAACUCUGAUCAUCUCACUGGCAGGGCAGUCUGGUUCACGUGCAGUCACAGGAGGCUUCAUUUCCUGGGGCUGUUUAGAGGAUAUGGCAGCUGGCUUUUCCCUGAGCAAGAUGAGUGGGUGAGUGACGUGCGUGUGUGUGUGUGUGAAGCCAAGACAUACUCCAUAAUCUUUUACAACCUAAUCUCCUCUUGCAAGGACAACUUAUCACUUCCACCUCAUGCUCCUGAGCAUAGACAGUGGUGAGCGUAGGAAGAAUUUGGAUGAUCGGAGACCCUCCUGGAGACUGGCUAGCUGCCGAAAGUAAAAACACUUGUGGUUUGUCAUAAUGACUAGAGAUUCCCAUUAACACGGACAAAAACCAAGGAUAUUAAAAUCUUGUUCAAGAAGGAAUCCAUCAGGAAGCUGCCAGCAGUGCUGCCGAAUAGCUCUCCUGCGCUACGGUCUCUGUAGACACACUCCUGGCUCCAUUACACGUGGCUUCUUAAAGUUCCCUGUAAGAUCCUCCGCCUUCGACGUCCACAAAUCUUCCUUCUGACUUCAGUGCCUCUUCACCUUAGCAACCUUUCCAACUCCCUUUUUGGGAGUUAGUACAAAUUCCUUCAUCUGCUGGAUGCGUUCCCUGUUACGUUAAGCCAAUGAGCCCUUGCUUUUCUCAGCCCUAUUUUCAUUCUUGUGAUGGCACUCAUGACACUGCUGUUAUUACCUCUAACAGCCCUUCUCCCCCAGGAGACUGUGAGCCCCUGCAGGAAUACGUUUUAUAAUCUAAAUCUCAGGGUCCCCAAACCUUACACAGCUCCCGCACAUAGGAAACACUUCUUAAUACAAGUUAGUUGAAUGACUGAGCAAAUGCAUGGUGUGUUGUCUGUGUUUGCGUACAUGUGUGCGCAAGGAUGGUGCCAGUUAAGAGAGAACUGCAGAAUGCAAAAGCUUGAGAACCACUGAUCUGCUCUGUUCCCACCCAGACUCUGUGCCACCUGUUUCCUACUAAAGUGUAAAUUCGCCUUCACAUCGCACAAACUGCUUUUUAAAUUAACAUUUUAUAUCUUCCCCAAAAGGAUAAUUGAAAGUUAUAUUUGUAGAGAGCAUGUCUAUAGGUUGUAGAGGGCACUACCUGAUUAUUACUUGUAUUUUUCAGAAAAUACCCAUGUUAAAGUGUUUUAAGAUCCUACAUCUAAAUCAAGAAAGAAUAAUCCUGCUUCAGUGCCUUGAAUGAUGUUCAACUGUUGAGCUCAAAGAGUUAACACAAAUUCCAAAAGUGCUGUGUUACAGCCAGUGGCAUUUAGUAAGUUGAAUCUGUAGUAAUAGGAUAAAAAGUUACUAUCUAAAAGAGUUAUUACAGGCACCAAAUGGGCUAAAUUAUGGAGAGGAGUAAUCUGAGCAAUGAAGAUUGAAGCUUACAUCUGUAAGAGCUGAUGCAAUUUCCAAAGGCAUUAACCUAAGGAGCAGUUUAUUAAUUGAGCACCUAGGCUAUUGAGGAAUAAUGUAGUGGCCUCCUAGGGAUUGGAGUUUUGCUGCUGCUGUUAAAUUCCAAAAUUGUCCAUUUUUGUCAGUUUCUAUUUAUGAAAGAUUCAGCCUGCCCAUCAUGAUUGUGCCCUGCCUAACUGAAAGCUGAACCUUUCAGUUGCUGAGUGACUUCCUGGAUCUGCACCUGCUCCAGAACUCCUCUGAUACUGCCUAGGGAUAGGAGUAGUUCAAUAUACGCUCAUUUAUUCAAGUAGCCUGUUUAGCAAAAAGCUAUGGAAUAUCAGCUAUAUGCCAGGCAUAUAUGGAUACGGAGGCCAAGAAGACAGACAUUUUUUGCUAGACUGUGUGGUGUUUACAUUCUGGUGGGCAGGUGUGAAAAAUAAUAACCAACACACCAUAAUGCAACAAAUAUUAUUUGAGAUAAGGAUGUGGGAUAUGAUAAAAUAUAUAUAUAUAUACAAAGUAGAGGGCCAGGGAGUGAAUUGCCUUAGGAGUGUUAUUUAAAUGAAGACCUGACCUACAGGAGGGAAUUGCCAGUGUAAAUAUUUAGGGAAGACAACUUUAGAUGGAGGGACAGAAGGAAUGUCCCUGCAAGGCCUCUGUGACUAGAACAAGCUUGGCAUACGUGGGAGUUAGAAAGUUAGCAUAUGAUGUGGGAACCUGUUAAAAGGUUGAGAGAUGCUGUAUAAAAGAUCAAAGGACCUUAUAGGCCAUAGAAAGGAAUUUAGAUGUGGACUCUCAAUGCAGUUGAGAGCUAUUGCAUGGAUUUCAGAAUUCGAAAGUGUCUCUGAUGUUUUGGGGUUUUGAGCCUUCUCUUCUGGUCCUUACCAGGACCAUUAGCCCCUGAAUCGGACAUUGACAACAAACGACCUUCACAGAGGUGGCUUAGAGUUUGCUAAUGGCAGAUGGGCUUUUAUCUAUGAUGUUUGUAUUUUACUGAACUUCAGUGUUGACUCUCACCUUGACUCACGUUCAGGAAGCCCUCUCUCCUAGACUCUAUAUUCCAAUUUUACCUCUUGCAUCAACAGACACUUAAUUCUUCAGUCAUUCCCAUUCUUGGCUAAUUCCCUUGUCAGAUCUAUAUCAGAGAGCUAUGAAGAAAUUUCACCCCUCUCCCCUCCCCCCAAAAAAACAAAAAACCCAAAUUUCCACAUCUCAAACCCCAUUCCGGACUUUAUAUGACACAAGAAAAGUUGAGUGAAUUAGUAAUUAGUACACCCCCCUAAAAGAAUAUAUAAUUUUAACAUUGCCGAAUAAUCCCAAAUACCUGUAUCAAUUCACUGUCAUAACUGAUAACCAUUUCCCAAACUGCAGUAUGCUCAAUGCUUAUUCUAGACCCAAGAUAUCCAGUCUGUUUAGCAAAAGUCUUAUCCUAUGAACGUUAGAAAAAUGAUCAAUCAUUUUACAUGCAUCCCUUACUCCUUUUCUCACAAAACAUCCUCCUCACACUAUCAAGACCGUGUUUUUUCCGUGUAAGUUCUCUGUGACGGGAAAACAUUAGAAACAAGUAAGAGUCCCCUUGUACAAACAAGUGCAGAAGAGGCAGAAGCUCAAUUAAGUAGAUGCCUCCUUUAUAAUUUAUCAUUUGUUUUCCUGGGAUCAGAUGCUUUAGCAAGUGAACUAAGUCUUUGCUUUUGUCUUUGAGCAGCCCUGUUUUGACUGACACUUAGACUACAAUCAAUCUUUGAAUUAAAAUUUUAGCUUAAAAAACAUGCAGCCUUAAAUUUACAGAACAUUGCAAAUCAACUAUAAUUUUAAAAAAUUAAAAAUAAAUAAAUAAAAAACACACAGCCUUAGACGAGAGCAUUCAUUUUCAGGGUUAGAUAACCAAUAAUAGGAAAGUGGCAGACCUCUGUCCAGAUACUUCUUUGUUCCUUGCCACCUGUGCAAGGAACACCCAUCGAUUGUGACAAAACCGCAUGUAGGAGUACUUAGGAGACUCUCUACAGAGUUCCCACUGUGGCUCAGUGGGGUCAAGGAUGCAAUGUAUUCUCCAUGAGGAUGCGGUUCGAUCCCUAGCCUCCCUCAGUGGGUUAAGAAUCCCACAUUGCAUCAGUCUCAGAUGCAGCUCAGAUCUGGUGUUGCCAUGGCUGUGGCAUAGGCCAGCAGCUGCAGGUCUGAUUCAACCCUUAGCCCAAGAACAUCCAUAUGCCACAGGUGCGGCCGUGAAAAGGAAAAAAAAAAA